CGUACCUAGGGGAGGAGACACGUCACCAAGGGGAGGAGCUACGGCCGAACAGGGUACCCGAAAAGUACGCUCGCCACGCUUCGGGCUCGGUGGCUCGCCACCUGAUUACUAAAGGUAAUAGUUGGUGGCGUGGAUAGUAGAGAAACUAUCCCGCUGGCCUAGCUCCUCCCCCUUGUGUCGUGACUCCUCCCCCAGACGGAAAGGGUCCCUUAGCCCACUCGAUUCUAGCAUCUACCAAACCCCCGGUACUUGGACGCUGACAUAGCGGACACCCAGGGCCACGCACCAUACCGCCAGGCUGUAGCUCACCUGCUCCGCGUGCAGCUUGCUGAACUUGGAUCGGUCUCUCCGGUGAUGCGGCAUGAAGUCUCUCGGUGCGGGUGGGAGAUAUCACAGUCACACAGCUACCGGAGUCAAGUGAUGUUCGCGGGCUCGGACCAAGCGCAACGGCCGUUAUCAUGGCGGUGUCGCGCGAGGCACAUGACGUCUCCUCGCGGACUCUGCGCGCGUGGAAGCCCUUCGUCACCCAGCACGAGGAGCCCGCCUGCCGCCAGCCACAGAAGGGAUCUUACAAACCCGGUUUUCAGUAAAACCAGGGUUUCUCUUUGUGCAGUGGCAGAAUUAGCUGCGGUGCAGCCGAUCCAUUGCACCGGGGCCCGGCCGCCACUAUCAAAGCAUUCCGGCAGGAGGAGGAAGGACCCUCUCUCGUCUAUCCCACGGGCCUCACCUACAACCAGGACUACAGCAGCAGAGGUGGCAGAGAGUCUACAGAGCUGGCACAGGAGGUCACACCGGCCGGGUUCAGCUCCACACAGAAAGUGACUCUGUGAGAUGGAUUGUAUGACUGAAAAUGACGUCUUACGGGUUGGAAAGCUUUUUGAACCACAUGAAAAUGAGCAUAUAGCGGCCGGAAAUGAAGUCUUACGGGUUGGAACGCAUUUUGAACCGCACGGAAAUGAGUAUAUAGUGGCCGGGCGGAAGUUGAUGGGAGACGCGAUACCAUGUGACCGGAAGUGACGGCCGCGGAAGCGCGGCGGCUUCCAAACACCGUAAUUGUAAUUUUGACACCUGAAACGUGUUUGAGGACUUUAGGGGGUAUAUAUAGGGGAGAAUUUCAGUGCUGCACAAUCCGCUUUUGAGAAAGGUUACAACCGAAACGUGUUAAGCGGGAUUGUGCUGUGUAUCCUGACGAUUCCUUUAUAUUCCUUAUUCACCACCUGGAAGGAAAGCCGUGAGUUCCCGGGACUGACUACACCUGCUGUAAGAAAUAUCUCAGCGAGCCAGUGAGGUGUCUUUUGGGAAAUAAGGGAUAACGCCUUGUGAUAUGCCUUUUUAUCUGUGUAACAUGUGAGUGCAUCUGUCUAAAAAUAAAUACCCGUUUGUUUAA